CCUUCACUGUACUUGACCAGUUCUGUUUCUGUGCAGUCAGCUUGUGAACGACCUUCCCUCCUGCACAGCUGGAGAGCUCAUAAAAACUCAUUGGUGUGUGUGGAAGUCCUUGAGGUGGCUGGCAGAGUGUUUGUCCUCACAGCAUCAGUUGAUGGUUCUGCUGGACUGUGGACAAGAAAUGGCAAUCAUGUGGGGUGUUUUGGACAAGAAGUGAUGUGGAAUAUCACUGACCCAGCAACAUACCAGAGGGAGACGCAGGACAACCUGCAAGAGGAGAUGACAGGCAGUGAUGAACCAGGAUCCAGGAAAGCCAGAAGUCAAGUACCUGACUCCACCAAUCUGGGUCAAACUACUAAUGUAUCCAUCCGAAGGGAGACAUCUUGUUGAUGACAUCAACCACAGGAUUCAGGAUGCUGAUUGGCUGCCUUUGCUUAGUCAGACUUAGGUGAGUUUUGU
rnacentral:lncRNA from 1 species